CGAAGGGAAAACAGGCCAAGAGAACACUUUGCUCCUCACAGGUCCCUCUGCAGCGGGGCCACUGCGUGCCCUGAGGCUCGGGGGCUCAGGCAGGGCAGGCAGGAAUUCAAGGAAGCCCUGAGAGGCUGGGGAGCAUGUUCAAGGUCACCCAGCCGGGAAGUGGUUAGGCAAUGUGCAAGCUUACUCCCGGAAAGGCAGGAACCUUCUGGUUUGAUCCAGGAUUGUACCUGCAGGACUGCAAAAAAUGAAUGAGCGAAUGAACGUGACUUGUCGGA